rnacentral:rRNA from 1 species
UCAAAUUUGAAAUCUGGCACCUUCGGUGUCCGAGUUGUAAUUUGAAGAAGGUAACUUUGGAGUUGGCUCUUGUCUAUGUUCCUUGGAACAGGACGUCACAGAGGGUGAGAAUCCCGUGCGAUGAGAUGUCCAACUCUAUGUAAAGUGCUUUCGAAGAGUCGAGUUGUUUGGGAAUGCAGCUCUAAGUGGGUGGUAAAUUCCAUCUAAAGCUAAAUAUUGGCGAGAGACCGAUAGCGAACAAGUACAGUGAUGGAAAGAUGAAAAGAACUUUGAAAAGAGAGUGAAAAAGUACGUGAAAUUGUUGAAAGGGAAGGGUUUGAGAUCAGACUUGGUAUUUUGUAUGUCUUGCUUUCGGGUGGGGCCUCUGCAGUUUACUGGGCCAGCAUCGGUUUGGACGGUAGGAUAAUGACAUUGGAAUGUGGCACUACUUCGGUGGUGUGUUAUAGACUUUGUUGAUACUGCCUGUCUAGACCGAGGACUGCGUCUUUGACUAGGAUGCUGGCAUAAUGAUCCUAAACCG